UCCCUGGUGGCUCAGAUGGUAAAGUGUCUGCCUACAAUGCGGGAGAUCCGGGUUCGAUCCCUGGGUUGGGAA
rfam:TPA: Bos taurus chromosome 4, whole genome shotgun sequence.